GAAGUCGGCGAGGUGAUCGCCGGUGCCUUCGGGCACGGGAGGAAAGUCCGAGCUCCACAGGGCUAGGUGCUGGCUAACGGCCAGUCGGGGUGACUCGAAGGAAAGUGCCACAGAAAGCAAACCGCCUGGCUUCGGCCAGGUAAGGGUGAAAGGGUGCGGUAAGAGCGCACCGCCCGUCUGGUGACAGACGGGGCACGGUAAACCCCACCUGGAGCAAGACCAGAUAGGUGUCGCGCGGCCCGCGUCAUGACACCGGGUUGGUUGCUCGAGCCCGCCAGCAAUGACGGGCCUAGACGAAUGAUCACCGCCGGCAGAGGGCAACCAGAGCCGGCACAGAACUCGGCUUACUGCCGACUUCGACG
rnacentral:RNase_P_RNA from 1 species